rnacentral:rRNA from 1 species
GGGCGACCGGCGCACGGGUGAGUAACGCGUAUGCAACUACCACCAGAGGGGAGUAACCCGGCGAAAGUCGGACUAAUACCGCAUGAAGCAGGGGCCCCGCAUGGGGAUAUUUGCUAAAGAUUCAUCGCUGAUAGAUAGGCAUGCGUUCCAUUAGGCAGUUGGCGGGGUAACGGCCCACCAAACCGACGAUGGAUAGGGGUUCUGAGAGGAAGGUCCCCCACAUUGGUACUGAGACACGGACCAA